CCUACGGGGGGCAGCAGUGGGGAAUUUUGGACAAUGGGCGAAAGCCUGAUCCGGCAAUGCCGCGUGAGUGAAGAAGGCCUUCGGGUUGUAAAGCUCUUUUGUUUGGGAAGAAAUCCCUAAGGAUAAUACCCUUGGGGGAUGACGGUACCAAAAGAAUAAGCACCGGCUAACUACGUGCCAGCAGCCGCGGUAAUACGUAGGGUGCAAGCGGUGAUCGGAAUUUGUGCGCGUGAUUCGUGCGGACAGGUGUGAAAUCCCCGAGCUCAACUUGGGAACUGCACUUGUGACUGCAAGACUAGAGUGUGUCAGAGGGAGGUAGAAUUCCACGUGUAGCAGUGAAAUGCGUAGAUAUGUGGAGGAAUACCAGUGGCGAAGGCGGCCUCCUGGGAUAACACUGACGCUCAUGUACGAAAGCGUGGGGAGCAAACAGGAUUAGAUACCCGAGUAGUC
rnacentral:rRNA from 1 species